AUUGAACGCUGGCGGCAUGCCUUACACAUGCAAGUCGAACGGUAACAGGUCUUCGGAUGCUGACGAGUGGCGAACGGGUGAGUAAUACAUCGGAACGUGCCUAGUAGUGGGGGAUAACUACUCGAAAGAGUGGCUAAUACCGCAUGAGAUCUACGGAUGAAAGCAGGGGAUCGCAAGACCUUGUGCUACUAGAGCGGCCGAUGGCGGAUUAGGUAGUUGGUGGGAUAAAAGCUUACCAAGCCGACGAUCUGUAGCUGGUCUGAGAGGACGAUCAGCCACACUGGGACUGAGACACGGCCCAGACUCCUACGGGAGGCAGCAGUGGGGAUUUUUGGACAAUGGGCGCAAGCCUGAUCCAGCAAUGCCGCGUGCAGGAUGAAGGCCUUCGGGUUGUAAACUGCUUUUGUACGGAACGAAAAGCCCCGGGUUAAUACCCUGGGGUCAUGACGGUACCGUAAGAAUAAGCACCGGCUAACUACGUGCCAGCCGCCGCCGUAA
rnacentral:rRNA from 1 species